rnacentral:rRNA from 1 species
GACGAACGCUGGCGGCGCGCCUAACACAUGCAAGUCGAACGGAGCUGCGAGAAGCUUGCUUUUCUUAGCUUAGUGGCGAACGGGUGAGUAACGCGUGAGUAACCUGCCCUGGAGUGGGGGACAACAGUUGGAAACGACUGCUAAUACCGCAUAAGCCCACGAUCCGGCAUCGGAUUGAGGGAAAAGGAUUUAUUCGCUUCAGGAUGGACUCGCGUCCAAUUAGCUAGUUGGUGAGGUAACGGCCCACCAAGGCGACGAUUGGUAGCCGGACUGAGAGGUUGAACGGCCACAAUGGGACUGAGACACGGCCCAGACUCCUACGGGAGGCAGCAGUGGGGGAUAUUGCACAAUGGGGGAAACCCUGAUGCAGCGACGCCGCGUGGAGGAAGAAGGUUUUCGGAUUGUAAACUCCUGUCGUUAGGGACGAUAAUGACGGUACCUAACAAGAAAGCACCGGCUAACUACGUG